ACCAGGUGCAGUGGCACGUGCCUGUAAUCCCAGCUACUUUGGAGGCUGAGGCAAGAGGAUCACGAGUCUGAGGCCAGCCUCAGUGAGAUCCUGUCUCAA
rnacentral:sRNA from 1 species